rnacentral:rRNA from 1 species
UGGGGAAUUUUGGACAAUUGGGCGAAAGCCUGAUCCAGCAAUGCCGCGUGUGUGAAGAAGGCCUUCGGGUUGUAAAGCACUUUUGUCCGGAAAGAAAUCCUUGGCUCUAAUACAGUCGGGGGAUGACGGUACCGGAAGAAUAAGCACCGGCUAACUACGUGCCAGCAGCCGCGGUAAUACGUAGGGUGCAAGCGUUAAUCGGAAUUACUGGGCGUAAAGCGUGCGCAGGCGGUUUGCUAAGACCGAUGUGAAAUCCCCGGGCUCAACCUGGGAACUGCAUUGGUGACUGGCAGGGCUAGAGUAUGGCAGAGGGGGGUAGAAUUCCACGUGUAGCAGUGAAAUGCGUAGAGAUGUGGAGGAAUACCGAUGGCGAAGGCAGCCCCCUGGGCAAGUACUGACGCUCAUGCACGAAAAGCGUGGGGAGCAAACNGAUUAAUNCCUUGGUAGUCCACGCCCCUAAAANGAUGUCAACUAGUUGUUGGGGAUUCAUUUUCCUUAGUAACGUA